GCUAACUGUGGGCGAGUAGGGGUGGUAAUAGGAAGGGGGGAAGCAGUAAGUGGAAUUAGUGGGCGGAAAGCGGGCGUGGGCGGUUCGUUAAGUCUGCUGUGAAAUGCCCGGGGUCAACGUGGGAAUGGCAGGGGAUACUGGGGAGCAAGAGUGUGAUAGAGGAUGGUGGAAUUCCCGGUGUAGCGGUGAAAUGCGGAGAGAUCGGGAGGAACAUCAGUGGCGAAGGCGGCCAUCUGGAUCAACACUGACGCUGAGGCACGAAAGCGUGGGGAGCAAACAGGAUUAGAUACCCCAGUAGUC
rnacentral:rRNA from 1 species